GUUUACAAGGAGAACAGAACCUAAAAACUUUUCUUUUCCCUUAAAUUUCAGGUCAAUCAAACAAUUCUUGAAUUAAUCAAGACAUCAGAAGUGAGUAUCAAUCCUAAUGAAUGGACUAAUUUGCCAAAGAAAAAGUCUGGGUGGAUAGGGCCAAGGGUGACAUUAAUCAGAAUAAACAAAGAGGGAGGAAGCAAUAUCUCUAUCGUGCUUUAUGUUCUAUCAAGACUGAAUAUUUUCCUGUUAUACCUUUUUGGUCUCAUUGUUUUGGCAUUUGAGUAUGGAUGACGGGUUCUAAAAAGUUUAAAACCAGUUAAAGUUGUACCUUCCCUUGCAUUAGAUGAUAGUCAAUGAACCCAUGUUUUUACUGGGGCUUAUUGAUAUGUCACCCUUCCAUUACCUCAUAUACCAUAACAAGUGAUGAAUACUGAAUACACAGGAUUCAUAAAACGAUUUUUUUAACAAAAGAUGAGAGGCUGACAAUCCGGCCAUUCAGAUUUUCAAAGUGAUUGGAGGCAAAAAAGGUGGGAGAUUGGGGCAGCCAAUAUUUAGGCAGAUACCUCUCCCCUUGCUAUCGGUUCAUGUUUAAUUUUUUAUACUUGCAAAAGAUGAUGUAACAAAUCCCCUCGUGCCUAAUCUUCAACAAACUCAAUACCAUUUU